AUUGAACGCCGGCGGCAUGCCUUACACAUGCAAGUCGAACGGCAGCACGGGUGCUUGCACCUGGUGGCGAGUGGCGAACGGGUGAGUAAUACAUCGGAACGUACCUUAUCGUGGGGGAUAACGCAGCGAAAGCUGUGCUAAUACCGCAUACGCCCUGAGGGGGAAAGCGGGGGAUCGCAAGACCUCGCGCGAUUAGAGCGGCCGAUGCCUGAUUAGCUUGUUGGUGGGGUAAAAGCCCACCAAGGCGACGAUCAGUAGCUGGUCUGAGAGGAUGAUCAGCCACACUGGGACUGAGACACGGCCCAGACUCCUACGGGAGGCAGCAGUGGGGAAUUUUGGACAAUGGGGGCAACCCUGAUCCAGCAAUGCCGCGUGAGUGAAGAAGGCCUUCGGGUUGUAAAGCUCUUUUGUCAGGGAAGAAACACCGGCUCUAACGCAGUCCGGGAAUGACGGUACCUGAAGAAUAAGCACCGGCUAACUACGUGCCAGCCGCCGCUGUAA
rnacentral:rRNA from 1 species